AGUUUUAGAAUUUAUUGCUCUGGCUAAAUUAAUAAUAAUAAUAAUAAUAAAAAUGUUACUGGGUUUUUAUUAAGGAUUGCGAAAUUGUUGUUGAUAACUUCUGUUGAUAAACUGACCUACGUUAAGCAUCGUAUCAGAUCGCAUUUGUUUAUAAAUGCAAACCGAGCAUAUUUCUUAGAGCACUUAUAAUUACGUCAAUGGCAUCGACGACCGAUAAUAAGAGAUUGGUCUAUCUCAACUCCUUCCGAGUGCUGCAGAGGGUGUAAAAAGAUGAAAUGUCUCCUAAUAACUAUCUUAAGUGGAUAAUAUGGACAAAGUUCAAGAACCAGAACAAACAGGACUUACCAGCUCAGCAUUUUACAAUGGUUACGAAUACAUAUGCAAACGCAAUUAUAUUUAUUCUUACCUUAUGCUUACGCACUACUACUACGGUUGCGUUAUUUCAUCCUGCCUAAGUUCCAGAUAAAAAAAGAAAUAUGAUUUUCACUACGAGCACGUAUAAAAUACGUAGCAUAUAAACAGGAUUUAUUGUUGGCAACACAGGCUUCGAAUAUAUUUUUAGUUACUUAUUACAAUUUUUUGUUUUUUAUGUUUGGCGAGGGUCUGGAAAUUUUUCCUUUUGAUUUUUGCUUCAUUUAAUUAUUUACUUUUCCAUUGUAAAGCUUGUUAUUGCUUUGCAACAUUUCAUGUUCUUAAUGUAUUUAUUCAGUCAUCCGUGAAGGAAGAAGGAAAAGAAUUCGUUAUACAAAACAAACAAAUUCGAUUUAUUUGACAGUUUGCUAUAUUUUCUUGUUCAUGUCAUUUUAUUAUAAAUUUUCUUUCUUUGGUUUUAACUUUAGUACAUUUAAUGAAAGGAAUUUCUAAUGUUUUCGAAGAUUUUUGAAGUUUUCCUUUAAAAACAAAAAAAAGUUAAAACCGGUCUAUUUGAAAAUUUCGUAACUUUUAAAAUUUUCUCUCCGUCGAAUACUAAGCACUUAAUAUAUUUCAUGCAUUGAUUUAAUUCCGAUGAAAAAUGUCCUGAGGAAUAAAGAAAGCUAAAUGCGUUGUUGCCAUUAAAGUUAAAUUAACAUUUAUCAUAUGUUAUGACGCGCCUACAAGUGGACUUAAUAUGUAAAUGAUUCAUUCGCUUAAUUGUCAUUUUCUUUAGUUCACACGUGCGAUUUUGCAGAGGUAUUUACACAGCGAUCCCUUGAAAUAUCUCUGCACGAUAAGGCGUUGUUGCUAUGAAAUGGAGAAAUAAAUAAGAGUAAAGAAGAAAUACGAACAGAAGAACAAUCCCAGAAAACACAUUACUGAAAAAAAAAAAAAAAACAAAAGUUUGUAACAGAAACUAGUAGCUUAGGACGAAUCUGAAAUAACCAUCAAAUUACGCUGUUAAUUAUCUGAAGACAUGAGCAGAGAAUGCUAUCAAUUCAAAAUUUGUCCGCUGUGAGCUGUACAAAUUACUGCACUUGACGACGAAUAUAUGAAGAAAGAGAUCAUGAUUACUGAAGCAAUUUAACUGAGCAAUUUAACUGAUAGUUACAAACAAAAUGACACAAUUAGUAUGGUCCCAACGUGUGUGGCCGUAGAAAUUAAAUUACAUUGAAAAUAUUACUGUUUGAACACGUUUAAAAUAUGCUUCUCACUUAUUCAUUGGAAAAAAUCCUAAAAAUAUGCUUUUCUGCGUUUUCCUCUUGCCUUCCUUUGUAUGCCAAUAACUCGAGUUAUCAAUGUCAAUAAAAAAAAAAAAUUAAAUAAUUGUAUUGCAAAUUAUAAUUCAUUUUCACUUUGCGAAUCGAAUUUCAUUUCAUAUACAGAACAAUAAAUUGUUUUUAAAUUGCCUUAAGUUAUUUAUAGAGUUAAAACUCACGCUACGAAUAAAACUUUAUGUAUAAAUAAUUUAUCUUUUUUUUUUUCGGUAUACACAUAUAUGUAAAUUUUAAAUAAACAAAUAUACUCAACACUUCAUUAAAGAUAAUAACUUAUUUUUUUUAUAAAUAUAUGAAUAUAAGGACA